GUUUCCGUAGCUCAGCAGGAUAGAGCGUCCGCCUCCUAAGCGGAAGGCCAGCGGUUCAAAUCCGCUCGGGAACAUCA
rnacentral:tRNA from 1 species